GUGCUAUACAUGCAGUCGAACGCUUCUUUUUCCACCGGAGCUUGCUCCACCGGAAAAAGAGGAGUGGCGAACGGGUGAGUAACACGUGGGUAACCUGCCCAUCAGAAGGGGAUAACACUUGGAAACAGGUGCUAAUACCGUAUAACAAUCGAAACCGCAGGGUUUUGAUUUGAAAGGCGCUUUCGGGUGUCGCUGAUGGAUGGACCCGCGGUGCAUUAGCUAGUUGGUGAGGUAACGGCUCACCAAGGCCACGAUGCAUAGCCGACCUGAGAGGGUGAUCGGCCACAUUGGGACUGAGACACGGCCCAAACUCCUACGGGAGGCAGCAGUAGGGAAUCUUCGGCAAUGGACGAAAGUCUGACCGAGCAACGCCGCGUGAGUGAAGAAGGUUUUCGGAUCGUAAAACUCUGUUGUUAGAGAAGAACAAGGAUGAGAGUAACUGUUCAUCCCUUGACGGUAUCUAACCAGAAAGCCACGGCUAACUACGUGCCAGCAGCCGCGGUAAUACGUAGGUGGCAAGCGUUGUCCGGAUUUAUUGGGCGUAAAGCGAGCGCAGGCGGUUUCUUAAGUCUGAUGUGAAAGCCCCCGGCUCAACCGGGGAGGGUCAUUGGAAACUGGGAGACUUGAGUGCAGAAAAGGAAAGUGGAAUUCCAUGUGUAGCGGUGAAAUGCGUAGAUUUAUGGAGGAACACCAGUGGCCAAAGGCGGCUCUCUGGUCUGUAACUGACGCUAAGGCUCGAAAGCGUGGGGGAGCAAACGGGAUUAAAUACCCCGGGUAGUCCACGGCCGUAAACCAAUAAAGUGCUAAAUGGUUGGAAGGGUUUCCCCCCUUUCAGGGGUGCAGCUAAAGCAAUUAAGCCCUCCCCCCGGGGGAAAUACAAACCCCCAGGGUUGAAACUCCAAAGGAAUUUGACGGGGGGCCCCGCCAAAACCGGGGGGAACCAGGGGGGUUUAAUUUCCAAACCACCCCGAAAAAACCUUUACCAGG
rnacentral:rRNA from 1 species